GUAGUCCACGCCCUAAACGAUGUCUACUAGUUGUCGGGGAUUAAUUUCCUUGGUAACGCAGCUAACGCGGGAAGUAGACCGCCUGGGGAGUACGGUCGCAAGAUUAAAACUCAAAGGAAUUGACGGGGACCCGCACAAGCGGUGGAUGAUGUGGAUUAAUUCGAUGCAACGCGAAAAACCUUACCUACGCUUGACAUGUCUGGAAUCCUGUAGAGAUGCGGGAGUGCUCGAAAGAGAGCCAGAACACAGGUGCUGCAUGGCUGUCGUCAGCUCGUGUCGUGAGAUGUUGGGUUAAGUCCCGCAACGAGCGCAACCCUUAUCAUUAGUUGCUACGAAAGGGCACUCUAAUG
rnacentral:rRNA from 1 species